CAGUAGCCGCGGGAAUACCGAGGGUGCAAGCGUUAAUCGGAAUUACUGGGCGUAAAGCGCGCGUAGGUGGUUUGUUAAGUUGGUUGUGAAAUCCCCGGGCUCAACCUGGGAACUGCAUCCAAAACUGGCAAGCUAGAGUAUGGUAGAGGGUGGUGGAAUUUCCUGUGUAGCGGUGAAAUGCGUAGAUAUAGGAAGGAACACCAGUGGCGAAGGCGACCACCUGGACUGAUACUGACACUGAGGUGCGAAAGCGUGGGGAGCAAACAGGAUUAGAUACCCCCGUAGUCCCUGUCUCUUAUAC
rnacentral:rRNA from 1 species